AUGGCCAUGGGAAAGUUUUCUGCUACGGAUGCUGUUAUAAGAAGUCGUCCUUCAGGUGCAGGACUGGAUCCUGCCAUGGCAGAUGCUCGUACUGUGCCUCCUUCUCCUGCUGCGGCCUUGAAACUCAUCAGUUGGAAUUGUCGAGGUAAGGGUAAGAGUCUCCGCGAAUCCAACAAAAUGGACUAUUUAGCUAGAUUGAUGUACUCCACCGGUGCGCAGGUAACUUUUGUUUCAGAGACUAGGUCCUCUAGGUGCAAUUCUGCUCAGCUAAAUACUCGUUUUAAUACUUCGGCUAGCUUUGUGGUUCCUUCGAUUGGUCUUUCCGGUGGACUGUGGUUGCUAUGGUCUGAUGAUGUUUCUCUCUCAGUCAAGUACUCCAAUAGCAAUCUCAUCUUAGCUUUAGCUGUGCAUUGUCCCACUAGUGUAGAGUUUGUACUUGUAUGUGUUUAUGGAGAUCCCCACCAUCGUCUUACUAAUAUGAUCUGGGAGUUUAUUUUCAAUUUUGUAUGUGAUAAUCUCGACAAACCAGUAGUUUGUUUAGGAGAUUUUAAUAAUAUUAUGUAUGAUACGGAAACUUCCUCUGUUAAUGUGUAUAAAAAUCGUAUGCGUGCUUUCAAUGGGUAUGUUAAGCAAUGUGGUUUGUUCGAUUUGGGCUUUUCUGGCCCUGCUUAUACGUGGACAACUAGACGUUUUUCUUCCAAACCUGUGUUUGAAAGGCUUGAUCGUUGCUUGGCAAAUGCUGAAUGGUGUGAUCUUUUUCCGAACACUAAUGUUUUUAACUUGCCUAUUAUUUUGAGUGAUCAUGCUCCUAUAUUGGUCUCCACGGAAUCGAAGUUUCGCAGGCCUCGGUUGACUUUUAAGUUUGAAAAUUGGUGCGCUCUGGAAGAGGACUUCCACACUGUUGCUAAUAAUGCUUGGUCCUCUACAGUAGAUAUGCCCUUCCACAUCAGGGCUAAUAAUCUUGCAGGAACGCUUAAAAAAUGGUGCAAGAAAAAGGAUUCCCUUCAAAAACAGUUACGAUCUCUGGAAGAACAGAUCAACAACAUCCAAGCACAACCCCUUGAGGAUCAGGAACAUUCUGUUGAGGUUCAGCUUGUAGCUCAAUAUGAAAGAAACAUGUCCAAGCUCAAUGAAUAUUACAGGCAAAGGGCCAAGAAACAUUGGGCUACUCGCGGUGACAGGAAUACUUCAUUUUUUCAUAAUGCUGUUACUAAGCGUAUGAGACGCAACCGCAUUCUUUCCAUCAAGGAUGCUCAAGACAAAGAUCUUUUUGAUCCCCAGGACAUUGCAAAUGAAUUUGUAGACUACUUUAAGAACAUUUUUCAAUCUUUAAGUCCUAAUAAUUGUAGACCUUUUUUAAGUACUACUCUUCCUCAGGACACACAAGACUUUACUACUUCAAUACCAGAUAAGCAGGAACUCUGGGAGAUUUUAAAAGAAAUGAGGAUGAAUGCAUCUCCAGGUCCGGAUGGCUUUAAUGCGGGCUUUUAUAAAACAGCUUGGAGCUGGAUUGGUGAUGAUGUUACUCAACUGGUAAGGAAUUUUUACGUUACAGGUGUUCUGCCUCCUCGUCUUAAUGAAACUCAUAUUGCUCUUAUCCCCAAAAAGAUAGUUUGUAAAUUACCUUCAGAUUUUAGACCUAUAAGCCUGUGUAAUGUAGUUUAUAAAAUUAUUGCUAAGUCCUUGGCUAAUAGGUUGAAGUCUCAUUUGCCAGAUUACAUCCAUCCUUCUCAGCAGGCAUUCAUUAAAGGUAGACGUAUUAGUAACAACAUCAUAGUAGCGCAAGAAAUUGCUCACUCUUUCUCCUUGAAAUCCUAUAAAGGCAAUGACUUCAUGCUUAAAAUCGAUCUUGCAAAAGCUUUUGAUAGAAUCGAGUGGAAUUUCAUUUGCUCUGCUCUUGCACGUAAGGGGUUGCAUAGCCAUUUCAUUAAUCUUAUAUAUGCUUGCAUUUCUUCUCCCUCUUUUUCUGUGAUCAUAAAUGGGCAGCCUUUUGGAUGUUUCAAAAGUUCUAGGGGUAUACGACAAGGAUGUCCUUUGUCUCCAUAUCCUUUUGUCCUUGCUGUUAAUGAGCUCUCAAUGGCCCUACAGAAUGCACUACAAGCCAACCAGCUCUCAGGUAUAUCCUUAGGUCCAAACUGCCCUCCUAUCCACUCGUUAAUGUUUGCUGACGACUUGUUGAUAUGUGGAAAAGCUAAUAUGCAGGAAGUUCAGACUAUUUCCCAAAUUUUACAGCAAUUUGCCCACCUUUCGGGGCAGCUUCCCAACUGGAAUAAGUCAGCCAUUAUGUUUAGUACAAACGUUUCUUUGCAGGAAAAGCAGGAUAUCAGGAACUUAUUUCCAGUGCCAGAUAUGGAUAACUCCUUCACCCAUUUGGGUCAUCCUCUUAUUCUUCCGGCUAAGGAUAGAGCUAGAGCUUAUAAUUUUGUGUACGAUAAAUUUAAGUCGAAGCUCUCUACUUACAAAGCUAAUAGGCUUUCACAUGCAGCUAGAUUGACCUUGAUCAAAUCUGUGUUCUCUUCAAUUCCUGUCUACUACAUGUCCAACAUUUUGUUUUCUAAGAAAUUUCUUGCUAGGCUCACAUCUAUCAUCAGGAAUUUUUGGUGGACAGGUAUUAAGGAUGACUCUACUAAAAGGGCUCUAUGUUUGAGAGCCUGGGCGGACAUAUGCACAGAUAAGAAGAUAGGAGGCCUAGGAAUUAGGAAUCUACAAGCCAUCAACCAAAGUUUAAUUCUUUCUGCAGCUUGGAGAAUAGCUAAGGAGCCUAACAGUAAUUUGGCUCUUAUUCUCAAGUCAAAGUACUAUGCAAAUACCUCAUUUUGGAGAGCAGAAGCCAAUAUGCCUAAGUCAGUUUUCUGGACAGCCAUAUUGAAGGUAAGACAUCUACUGAGCUCUGCAUCUUUUUAUCAACUUGUGGAUGGAAGCUCCUCCAUUUGGAGCUCUCCAUGGUUCUCUAAAUGGCAAGAUAUUUAUGACAAUUUGAAUAUUCAACAACCACCUUACUUCUAUCCAGCUGUGGUAAAAGAUCUGUGGUCCAAUAGUCAAAAGGUAUGGAACACCCAACUAGUUAAUACCUUGUUUACCCCUGAAACUGCAGCUGUCAUCUUGCAAACCCCUAUAGUUGAUUCUCUAGGCCAUGAUUUGCUUGUAUGGAAGCUAACCCCUGCAGGUGAAUUCUCAACCAAAAGUGCCUACAAGCAUUGUUACAAAAAUCUUGAGCUCCCUAUUAAUCAGAGACCUAAGCCAGUGCCACAACAGGUAAUCUCCCUUCUCAAUCAGGUUUGGGCAGAAAAAAUGAUGUUACCCAGGGUUCAAACUUUUGCUUGGAGACUACUUCGGCGAGCCCUAGCUACUGGGAAAAGAGCAGGUAAGUUUUCCAAACAUAUAAAAUCUGAGUGCUCCAGGUGUGGCAUGGAAGAAGAUGAAAUGCACAUGUUAUUCUUAUGUCACUUCUCCAAAGCGGCUUGGUUUUCACAUCCUUGGUACAUCAGAACUGAAAUGUUAGCUGCCACACAUCAAACUAUACCCGAUAUGAUACAGUUUUUGCUUUCUUCCAAUCACCCUCACAUUUCAACUAUUAAUCUCUAUACUUUUCUCUGGUGUUUAUGGAAAGUGAGAAAUGACUAUUUAUUUAAUCGCAAGAACAUCAAGCCAGAGCAAGUUUUUGUUGUGUACAAUGCUGUUAUGCAGGACACAGACACUUCACUGAUGAAGGAGUUACAUGUUCAUGAUUCAACUUGGAAGGGACAUCACGGUCAGCCAGAACAGCUAAAGCUUUCUACUGUUCUUACUUCUCAGUCUACAAUAGAUUUUCCAGGUACACAAAUAUACUCAGAUGCAGCUUGGUCGUUGGAGCCAGGACAAGCUGUAGCAAAGGCGGGUAUAGGUGUUUUUCUACAAAUUAACGGGCAACAUACCGACCAUCUAUACAUCUCUGCUGUGUCGCCACCAGUAGCAUCAGCUUUGCAGGCAGAAGCUUAUGGACUGUUGUUGGCGGUGAAGAUUGCAGCUCAACUACAUGUGCAGGAUCCGAAGUUUUUGACAGACUCUGAAGUGCUUGCCUCAGCGGUUGUACAACCUGAUAUUACUAAAGCAGGUCCGUGGGCUAUCCGGCCAAUCUUAGCUGCUAUCCAGACCACGCCUUCAUUUCAUCCAUAUAGAAUACUCAAAGUGCACAGAAGUCUGAAUUUCAAGGCACACCAUCAGGCUAGACUUGCUGUCAAAGUGCAAGAUAAACCUUUUAGCUCUACUUGCCUACAUUCAGAUCAAGGUUUAGGUACUAAUUUGGAAGGAUGUCCUACCUGUAAUGAGCUAUCAGCAAUGAGUGCUCAGCCACUCGAGCUGCUAUUUGUAAAGUGUGCUUAA
rnacentral:rRNA from 1 species